AAGCGACGCCUGGCUGCCCACUCUGAUCGUAGCUGCGCUAUGCGGGUGCGCUGCAGUGGUGACUCUGCAGUUGCCUGACACGGACAAUGUCAAGCUUCGAGACGUGGUUCAUGACGUUCACUCUUUUUCGAGACCCGUGGAGACCCAUGGUGAAUGAGCAACUCCAGCUGGGCAACUAAACUUGCAACGACCUUCCUUAAGCCCACCUUUUUCCCACCACGAAGCAGACAUCGUCGCGGAACAGUCCCGAAUGUUAAAUAUGAUCGUAUCAUAAAUUUGACAUUGUAUUGUAUAAGUCAUACGAAAUAUAUCAACGUGUAAAGCAUA